rnacentral:rRNA from 1 species
AGCGAACGCUGGCGGCAGGCCUAACACAUGCAAGUCGAACGGAUCCUUCGGGAUUAGUGGCGGACGGGUUAGUAACACGUGGGAACGUUCCCUUUGGUUCGGAACAACUCAGGGAAACUUGAGCUAAUACCGGAUGUGCCCUUCGGGGGAAAGAUUUAUCGCCAUUGGAGCGGCCCGCGUCUGAUUAGCUAGUUGGUGAGGUAACGGCACACCAAGGCGACGAUCAGUAGCUGGUCUGAGAGGAUGAUCAGCCACACUGGGACUGAGACACGGCCGAGACUCCUACGGGAGGCAGCAGUGGGGAAUCGUGCGCAAUGGGCGAAAGCCUGACGCAGCCAUGCCGCGUGAAUGAUGAAGGUCGUAGGAUUGUAAAAUUCUUUCAGCGGGGACGAUAAUGACGGUACCCGCAGAAGAAGCUCCGGCUAACUUCGUG